GACGGAGGAUGCAAGUGUUAUCCGGAAUCACUGGGCGUAAAGCGUCUGUAGGUCGUUUAAAAAGUCUACUGUUAAAAAUUGAGGCUUAACUUCAAAGGUGCCGUAGAAACUUUUAAACUUGAGGAUGGUAGGGGUAGAGGGAAUUUCCAGUGGAGCGGUGAAAUGCGUAGAUAUUGGAAAGACCACCAACGGCGAAGGCACUCUACUGGGCCAUUACUGACACUGAGAGACGAAAGCUAGGGGAGCAAAUGGG
rnacentral:rRNA from 1 species